GACGAACGCUGGCGGCGUGGAUUAGGCAUGCAAGUCGCGCGACGGACGAGCUUCGGCUCGUUACGGAGCGGCGAACGGGUGAGUAACACGUGAACAAUCUGUCCUCACGUUCCGGAUAAUUGGCCGAAAGGCCUUGUAAUACGGGCGAGGGUCAUCUGGAGGCAUCUUCGGAUGAAGGAAAGCGCAAGCUGCGCGAGGAGGAGUUCGCGGCCUAUCAGUUAGUUGGUGAGGUAAUGGCUCACCAAGACGACGACGGUAGCUGGUCUGAGAGGAUGGUCAGCCACAUUGGAACUGAGACACUGUCCAGACUCCUACGGGAGGCUGCAGUCGAGAAUCUUGGGCAAUGCACGAAAGUGUGACCCAGCGACGCCGCGUGGAGGAUGAAGGCCCUUGGGUUGUAAACUCCUUUAGAGGAGAAGAACGCACCGUAAGGUGCUUGACGGUACCCUCUGAAUAAGCCACGGCUAACUACGUGCCAGCCGCCGCAGUAAC
rnacentral:rRNA from 1 species